AAUAACUUCUGCCUUGAUGCAAAACCCCCUUAAGAUGGUGAAAAGACAUCUGCCCACUUGUUAAGGACUGUUGACCAAGCUUCCACUUCAUAAAUGACUGAUUUCAUCCUAGGGCUGCGCAAAGACACUUUGUAGAUUUUCCGUGUGCAUCAUACACGCUGUUUAUUUCUUCUGAAUUGUUUUGUAUUAUACAUGGGGAAGUGGAAGAAGAUGAAAAGGAACAAAAUCAGAACUCCUGCCAGGCAAUACAGGUCAGGCGCCUUCCCAAGAGCAGUACGUUACCUGAAAAGACUGCCAUCCCCACUGCUCCUGAAGAAACAGAACGAUGCAGGAUCCGGAAAAUAAAAUUUUUAUAGCUCCAUAACUGGAUCUUUCACAACUUGGGUUUUGCACUGAUUCCUGCUGGAUUUGGCGGCAAGCCCAGCAACAGAUACCUUGCACUCUGACAUAUAGUAUGGUGAGACCCAGGACAGAAGUAUAAUUUGGCAGCAGCAAUUUGCUGCGCUGUUUGGCUUCCCUACUUCGCAGAAAAGAAGGAACCCCUGCAGAAACUGAGGCAGCAGUGCUCUGUGAAAAAGAAAUCCGGCUACCUGUGAGCUGCUGAAGUGUACGUGAUGACAAGCAGUAGUCACAGCAUAAGCUGGUUUGCAUAAUUUUCUCUGCAGGCGGAACAUGUGGCAGUCACAGGAGGCAGCUGAAAGGCAGAUGGACUGAAAACCCAGCUUGAACAGUGGUUGGUUUGGCGUAGCUGAAGGGUGCCUGUGCCGCUACAAGUGCCUCCCCGUGGGUCCUUCCUUGCAGGGUAUACCCAGGGUCCUCCCCUGGGUAUGAGCUGAGAACCCUCCACAAUGCACCAGGAACUGAGAGGUGGGGAAGGGGCCCAGGCAGCCCUAACACGUGUCUCUCCCCUUCUAGCAACAGGGAAAGAGCCUUGAAAUGCGAUCAGUUGUUUACAUCCCCUCUACAGCUCCUCUCCACUCCCAAAGCAGGCUCCAGAGGUGCUUAUUAGAAGAAGAGUAAAAUAACCCUAUCAGUAGGACAGGGGAAAAGGGUCACUGGAUGAAAAGCUGCCUUUAACAAUGCUCCUUUGCAUGGGGAGUGUCAGCCUGGAGAGGUCCAAAAAAACCCCUUUACUCCCUUGGUUGUUUACAUGACAGGAGGCUGUUGAGGAUGUUAAGAAGUCACUGCUGUGCAUAUAUGCAGUAUAAAUGCAGAGUAUUCAAAGCACUGUCUGUGAUGCCAGAUGUUCACAGUUCUUCUCUUCACUCUUCAGUAAGGGUUUCCCACGCUCUACAACUGUUUAUGGGCUUUGCUCACUGGGUAUUUGGCAGUCCCUGCUGUGCCCAACUUCUGCUAACGAGUCAGGACGACAAGUGUCUCAAGGCCAGCAAAUACCUCCCCAGUGCUUAUAUGGAGAGAAGUUUUAAAAAAAAAAAAAAGGUGAAAUAACACACUCCAAAUUCAGAAACUUUUGAUUACUGAAGAACCUGAGAUUCUGUGGAAUUAAAGAUUUAUUUUAUAGAAGAGUAAAAAAAUCCCAUAGAAAAUAGGUGGUACUAACUGUAAGUGACAGGAAUGUGAAGCUUAACUCUCUCAAGUUUUCCCCUUGCAUGGGAUUUGCUCUGUGAGGAGCAGCAUGGAUGCUGCCUCGGCAACCUUUCUGUACUCAUGGGAUGCAGAUGGGGGCAGCCUUCCACCCACCACAUUGAUUCUGCUGGCUUAUGGACCUAUUUCUUCUCUUCAGACCUUCAGAAGGCCUCAAGAAAGUGGGGAUGGGCUGGGAAGGCUGAAGUUGUUUCUGUAGGUGAAGUACCAUGGAGAACAAGCAGCUUUACUCCUGUGUUUUGCUGAGUGUCAGAUUUUUGUCAGCUUCAAAAGCAGCUUCUGCUGGAAUGGACUGUCCAGCUGGUGGGAAAGACGGUGGGAGGGUGUGGGUGUGAGUGAUUUGUGCCACAUUUAUAAUUAGUUCUUCAUCUUAAUAAACUUUCCAGUGUUAAUUAAGCCUGUGAAUCUGCAUGACAGGAAGCGACAGCCAUUCCCACUUCAUGCGGGGGCGAGUGUUGUGGGGAGGUAAAGGCAUCUAGUCAUGAAACUACUGAAGCAAGUGAUUUAGUUUUCAAAGGUACCAUUGCGUUUGAUCGUGUGAAAGCCAGGCUGUUCUCCCAUGGUUUUCUGUGCUCUUUGUGUUAUCUAUUUGCACACACAUACACAUGGACAUAUAUAAAAAAAUAAUUAUUUUACUUAUAUACAUCCUGAUGGCUUUCAACCUCAGCCUGGGAUACCAAACUCAAGCCUGGCAAAAUGUGGCUUACAUUACAUGCUGUGUCUUCUCACAGGAUGCCAUAUCAGGGGUGGAUAGAUUACACAUACAAGGCCAGUACAGAGCUAAGGCUGAGCUACUGAUGCUUAUUUAGCAGUUCUCUAGCUUCCACAAAUAAUAUUUAUUUAAUAACCAGAGUAUUUUAUCAACAUUAUUAGUUUAAUUUUAAAUAGGUUUGUACAGUCUUAUGGCAAUGUUUUUAUGUGAGAAUACUUUGUUAUUUCUAUAUCUUGCAUUUUUAACAGAGUAAAGAAAUUCUGUUCUUAGUAAAUAAAUGCAUAUCUCAGCAAUUCAGAGUAGUUUUAGAUUGUCAGAGGUAUCUUAAGUGGAACAAAAAACCUAGGAUAUAAUGCAGUUGGGAGUGUCCCAGUUGUGUGCUACAAAAAUGUGCAGAAUUCAAAUCACCAGUUUUUAUGAAAAUUCUGGGGAUCAUUAUCACUUAUGCUACUGUAAGACAUGAUUAACUCUGUUGCAGCCAGUCAAGCCUCAUCAAGAUAAAACAGAUGUGCUGGGCCAGUAACUCUUACACAGACAAAUAAGAGAACUUGGUUUGCUAUGGCAGUGUUAUUGCUUACUUAGGGUCAUCUCAGCUCUGAGUGCUCAUCUUGAUGAAGGCAAGAAAUUAUGUUUUUCAUGGUGCAUAAACAAAUAUCUUUUCUGGAUGUGUACACAAAUAAGAGAAAGGUGUUACUGCAGUUACAGAUUGUACUUCUACAAUCUUGCUAUUCUUGGUCAAGAAUAGUAUUUAUUACAAAUGUGCCUGCAACAGGUCUCGACCGUCUUAUGUGCUAUAAUGAAUGAAGCAGGUUAAUUUAUUCAGAUUUGGAGGCAGGAUGUUUUUUAGCAGAAGAAGAUGAAAACUAUGUCCAUGUAUUCCUGUAGCACCUAAUUGCUUGCUUGUUGCAGAUGUUAAUGGAACAGGAAAGGAGGUAGCAGAGAAGCAGGCCCAGAAAUAUAGGUGGAAGAAUUGAAACACAUCCAGAAAAAAUAUGAUUUUGUCUUCCUUUCCUCUUCUCCUCCUCUGUCUGCCCCAAUGAAGCAUUUAUUUUCUGCCUGUGGUGCAUACUAUCAGCCAGAGAACUGCAGGAAAAUCGGUAAUUGCCUGGUUAAAUUGUCUGAAGCAGUGCUGUCCCUGAGAGGGUCUAGAGGCAUUAAAUAAAGGGAAAUAGAAGAAUAAUACGCUUUCUUCUGCUUACAAGGUUUAAAGUAGCUCAAAACUUGAGCUUUCAGGAGCAGAAGUCAAACAAGCCAGGCUUAGUGUAGCAAGCUUGUUAUUUAGGGCAAAGGGAUUUAGUUAUAACAUUCCAGAGGCUGUGAUGGUUUUGCACUCUGAUCCCUUAAUCUUUUUCCAAAGGAUGCUGGAAUGAACUACCUUUUAGAAGGACCUCUUGCAGAACGUCAGAAACUCCAGCAAAGAGAGAUAUCCUUUCAAAGAUGUGGUAUCCCAAUUUAUCAGAAUAACAAAUAUUUUGACAGUAACGGAUGUUGCAUUGAACAUUAAUGUCACAUAUAGAAUUCAGUUUUAAUGUUUCUGUUAUUUAGCUUGAACCAUAGCUGGCCGCUCUGUGUAUAUAUUUUUUUUUUAAUUGUUGCUCUUGUCAGAAGCUCUUUUGCCUGGGAUAUUUUUAGUAUGUUCUUCAGACAGGAGAGCUCCUUGUCAAUCACAAACCCAUGGAUACCUCUGACUUGAGGCUUCUGAACAAAAGAAGUCCAUUUUCACCCCCAGGGAAAGUUAAGGCUAAUAUCCUUGCUGCAGUCAAGCAACUCUAGACAACACUAAAUGAAACUCUGAAUUACCUUACCAAAUCACUUUCCUUUUUUUGGAUUUUCUCCACUCCCUAGUUCAUUCCCAUGCCUCAGGUUGUACAGUAGCACAGCAUGUCAAGGACUGAGGGCUUGCUCAGGGGUCACUCUCUUCACUCUCCCAUGUGGCUGGAGAGUUGGAUGGGGAAAAAUUAAAUGAAAAAUAACAAAGGAAAGUAUAGAAUAUUGCAUCUGGGCCAGGAACAACACCACGUUCCAGUAUAAGCUGGGGAAUGACCUAUUAGAGAGCUGUAUAGGGGAAAGGGACCUGGGGGUCCUGGUGUCCAGCAGGAUGACCAUGAGCCAGCACUGUGCCCUUGUGGCCAGGAAGGCCAAUGGCAUCCUGGGGUGUAUUAGAAGGGGGAUGGUUAGCAGGUUGAGAGAGGUUCUCUUUCCCCUCUACUCUGCCCUGGUGAGACCACACCUGGAAUAUUGUGUCCAGUUCUGGGCCCCUCAGUUCAAGAAGGACAGGGAACUGCUGGAGAGGGUCCAGUGUAGGGCAACAAAGAUGAUGAAGGGAGUGGAGCAUCUCCUGUGUGAGGAAAGGCUGAGGGAGCUGGGUCUCUUUAGCUUGGAGAAGAGGAGACUAAGGAGUGACCUCAUUAAUGUUUGUAAAUAUGUAAAGAGUGAGUGUCAUGUGGAUGGAGCAAGGCUCUUCUCGGUAACAACUAACGGUAGGACAAGGCGUAGUGAGUUCAAACUGGAAGACAAGAGGUUUGAGAAGAAACUUCUUUUCAGUGAGGGUAAGCAAACACUGGAACAGGCUGCCCGGGGAGGUUGUGGAGUCUCCUUCUCUGAAGACAUUCAAAACCCAGCUGGACACACUCCUGUGUAAGCUAAUCUAGGCAGGGAAAUUGGACUGGAUGAUCUUUUGAGGUCCCUUCCAAUCCUUAACAUUCUGUGAUUCUGUGAUUCUGUGAAUGGUACAGAAGAUUUUCAAAGUGCUCCUACAGACCUGCUCAGCAGUGGUGUCCUCUGGGCUCAGUCUGCCUUGUUCUCUGGUAGUCCUUACAGGUCCUAAUGGACUAGAAGUGGUCUCAGGUCUCCUGCAGAUCACCUCAUAUAUUAAUUUUGAUGGAUAAGCAAUAGCUGGUGUAUUUCAUAUUUUCCCUGUCACACCCAUGAAGGGUCAUUGGGCAGCACACAACAGCAGUGCUAACUGACCACGCUAUGACAUGGCUCCAGCAUUCAGGAAGGGUUGCUUUUUCCCUAGAUAUCCAAAUACCUGUUCCCAGAAACCUACUCUGAAACUCCACCUGGGAAGUGUUAAAAAAUCUCAUUCUUUCUUGUUAUUCACAUUGCUUUUGGACAGACAGGAAAGGAAACUCAAACAGUAAAUCUCUGACCAAAUGCAUCAUUGAAACUGACACAUUUUUUAACUGUCAGGGUAGUAAACCAGACUUUUAUGCUGGCUUUUUGAGUUGUCUCUCAGAGGUCACAUAGUAUACAACACUGGACACAGCUUCCAAGGGUUUAGGUUUAUUCAUACAGUCAUUGUAGGGGUUACAACUUUGCUUUGGUGUUGAAAAGGACAAAUAGUCUUGAUAUGUGGCAAAUAGAUGUCAAGCUGAGAGAAAGUGCUGAUUGCCAAAUAAAACUAUUUUUGAGAGGAAGCCCGUGAAGAUUGUGAGACAAUGAAUGAGAUCUACUUUGGUUUUGCUGAGAUACUCUCAUUGCUCCUAGAGGUCUUGGAAGCAUUUAGUUUAUGGAGAGCCAAGACCAUAGCUAUCUACACCUGGUGGAAUGCUUCAUCAUUGGAGAAACAAGGUAAAAAUCCUUCACGCAUAGCGUCACAGAGCAAAAAAACCCUAAAAGGUAUCAGCUAUAAUUUUCACUGAUGUUUGGAAGCAGAAGUAGUAUACCCAUUUUUUCUCCAGGGUAAUUGCAUCUCAUUUCUGCCUGUUAUGUAGCUUAUACAAAAAAUAGUAAAAAAAAAACCUCUCCAGAAUUGACACUUCAAUUAAAAGCAAAAAAAGAAAGAACUAGGAAGAACCAAAAUCUGCAAUUCAGAUAUUUCAGUGUGCCAGGAAAUGUGAUCAGCUGCAUACAAGGGUUGCAUCUGCUCUGCUUUAUUCCCACAGACAGCAAGCUGCCCACAGAGACCACACCUCCUCCCACUUCUCCUCCUGUUCAAGUUGCUGAAAUGCGGUCCAAAUCCAACACCACGAAAUUGUCACUGAAGUGCUUUUUCAGCACGGCCCCGUCACCCACUUCAGAAAGGAUAUUUAUUGCCUCCUGGUUCAGGGUUGCAGGGCAUUAGCAGCAGUGUCUUUGUUUUUUUUUAACUGGUUUGUUGACUGGCCAGUGCAUUCCCAAGAUGGUUGGCAGCACCAUCACAGACUUCUGAUGUGGUUUGAUCCAUCUAGUCCCUGUAAUGGAUGAAGAUGAGAAAGGAAUUAAAGCACUCCUGUCUGGGAAAGAAGACUGCUGUUGUUACCGGGGAGUUUGUUUUCGUUGGUUCUGAAAAAUCUAUUACUUCUCUCUUUUGAGUAAUUCCUCUGCAGAGAUGCUAUUUUAAUAAAGCUCUGCAAAAUGGCUGCAGCUAGAGGGAAAUGUAUGUGAAAGUGGCUUCAAAGGGAUAUGCGUUUAUUAUGAGACUUCCCUGCUCUCCCUCUGAUUUCAUUUUCUUUUGUGCUCUGGGUCACUCUUGACUUGUUUCUAAAUAUAUUGUCUCCCACUCCUCCCAAGUGGAAAAGAGAUGUAAUGCAGCAUCCAAUUUAUUUGGAAACCCAUUGUCUCCAGGGAAAUCUGAACACAAAUAUCCUGAUACUUUAUACGGAGCUUGUUUUGUAGAGGAAGGUGAAUGCACUGUGCAUGUGGGAUGUAACUCUUUCUGUGAAGUCCCACAGACUGCAAGAUUUGUUCUUCUCUUCCAACUGCCUUCUUUAUUAAAGUUAGUAUCUGUCUGUGACAAGGGUUGAGUGUAUUUUUCAAAGGAGGUUCUGCUGUGCAGCCGUGAGUUAGACAACAAAUGACUGUGAGAGACAUCUUCCCAGGAAGC